rnacentral:lncRNA from 1 species
UAGAUGGUGAAGAUCUUUGGAAAUGAAUUCAUGUCGGAGAUAAUGCACUUUUGAACUCUGGCAUGGGAAAAUCACUUGGCAAGGCCCUGCCCUAUUCUCAACACUGGACAGGGAAGGAGCUACUCACCAAGUUCAGCCUCACCACUAAUUCCAGCCAUGGCUCUGGUGAUCAGUUA